GACAGAGGGUGCAAACGUUGUUCGGAAUUACUGGGCGUAAAGCGCGUGUAGGCGGCCAUGCAAGUCGGAUGUGAAGCCCUCGGCUCAACCGGGGAAGUGCACUCGAAACUGCAAGGCUAGAGUCUCGGAGAGGAUCGUGGAAUUCUCGGUGUAGAGGUGAAAUUCGUAGAUAUCGAGAGGAACACCGGUGGCGAAGGCGGCGAUCUGGACGAUGACUGACGCUGAGACGCGAAAGCGUGGGGGAGCAAACAGG
rnacentral:rRNA from 1 species